CACUUCGGUGAGAGUGGCAGACGGGUGAGUAACGCGUGGGAAUUUACCCAGCUCUACGGAACAACUCAGGGAAACUUGAGCUAAUACCGUAUACGCCCUUUUGGGGAAAGAUUUAUCGGAGUUGGAUGAGCCCGCGUUUGAUUAGCGAGUUGGUGGGGUAAUGGCCUACCAAGGCGACGAUCAAUAGCUGGUCUGAGAGGAUGAUCAGCCACACUGGGACUGAGACACGGCCCAG
rnacentral:rRNA from 1 species